rnacentral:rRNA from 1 species
GAUGAACGCUGGCGGCGUGCCUAAUACAUGCAAGUCGAGCGAACGGACGAGAAGCUUGCUUUUCUGAUGUUAGCGGCGGACGGGUGAGUAACACGUGGAUAACCUACCUAUAAGACUGGGAUAACUUCGGGAAACCGGAGCUAAUACCGGAUAAUAUUUUGAACCGCAUGGUUCAAAAGUUAAAGACGGUCUUGCUGUCACUUAUAGAUAGAUCCUCGCUGCAUUAGCUAGUUGGUAAGGUAACGGCUUACCAAGGCAACGAUGCAUAGCCGACCUGGGAGGGUGAUCGGCCACCCUGGAACUGGGACACGGUCCAGACUCCUACGGGAGGCAGCAGUAGGGAAUCUUCCGAAAUGGGCGAAAGCCUGACGGAGCAACGCCGCGUGAGUGAUGAAGGUCUUCGGAUCGUAAAACUCUGUUAUUAGGGAAGAACAUAUGUGUAAGUAACUGUGCACAUCUUGACGGUACCUAAUCAGAAAGCCACGGCUAACUACGUG